UUACGGUUAAAUCAGGUUGAAACAUCCCUUCCCGUACGAUCACUGAACCUAAGCAACGUCGAGCCCGGUCAGUAACUAAAUGGGUGACCGCAUGGGAAUACUAGGUGCUGUAA